GACGAACGCUGGCGGCGUGCUUAACACAUGCAAGUCGAACGCUGAAGCCCAGCUUGCUGGGUGGAUGAGUGGCGAACGGGUGAGUAACACGUGAGUAACCUGCCCCCUUCUUUGGGAUAACGCCCGGAAACGGGUGCUAAUACUGGAUAUUCACUGGCCUUCGCAUGGGGGUUGGUGGAAAGGUUUUUCUGGUGGGGGAUGGGCUCGCGGCCUAUCAGCUUGUUGGUGGGGUGAUGGCCUACCAAGGCUUUGACGGGUAGCCGGCCUGAGAGGGUGACCGGUCACAUUGGGACUGAGAUACGGCCCAGACUCCUACGGGAGGCAGCAGUGGGGGAUAUUGCACAAUGGGCGAAAGCCUGAUGCAGCGACGCCGCGUGAGGGAUGACGGCCUUCGGGUUGUAAACCUCUUUCGCUCAUGGUCAAGCCGCAGCUUUGGGUUGUGGUGAGGGUAGUGGGUAAAGAAGCGCCGGCUAACUACGUGCCAGCAGCCGCGGUAAUACGUAGGGCGCGAGCGUUGUCCGGAAUUAUUGGGCGUAAAGGGCUUGUAGGCGGUUGGUCGCGUCUGCCGUGAAAUCCUCUGGCUUAACUGGGGGCGUGCGGUGGGUACGGGCUGACUUGAGUGCGGUAGGGGAGACUGGAACUCCUGGUGUAGCGGUGGAAUGCGCAGAUAUCAGGAAGAACACCGGUGGCGAAGGCGGGUCUCUGGGCCGUUACUGACGCUGAGGAGCGAAAGCGUGGGGAGCGAACAGG
rnacentral:rRNA from 1 species